CCUACGGGUGGCAGCAGUGGGGAAUAUUGGUCAAUGGGCGCAAGCCUGAACCAGCAACGCCGCGUGAGGGAUGAAGGCCUUCGGGUUGUAAACCUCUUUCAGCAGGGACGAAGCGAAAGUGACGGUACCUGCAGAAGAAGCACCGGCUAACUACGUGCCAGCAGCCGCGGUAAUACGUAGGGUGCAAGCGUUGUCCGGAUUUAUUGGGCGUAAAGAGCUCGUAGGCGGUCCAGCACGUCGGAUGUGAAAACUCGGGGCUUAACCCCGAGCCUGCAUUCGA
rnacentral:rRNA from 1 species